UGUGAUAGAGGUCGCGGCUGACAAGAGUACGCGGAAAGCCCUGAAGGGCGCCGCGGAAAGGGGAUGCCGCCGAAGGGCUGCGAAGGUCUUAGGACCGGGCAGCGCCUGGGACGCAGGAGAACAUCCUGCGGACUGUCGCGCCAAGGCGCGGAGAGCUGUCA
rnacentral:ncRNA from 1 species